CCAAUAGCGUAUAUUAAAGUUGUUGCAGUUAAAAAGCUCGUAGUUGAAUUUCGGGAUCAAUAUAUCGGUCGUGCCAUUGGUACGUACUGGUAUCAUUGGUUUCUCCUUUCUGACGAACCAUGAUGUCAUUAAUUUGGUGUUAUGGGAAGUUAGGACUGUUACUUUGAAAAAAUUAGAGUGUUUAAAGCAGGCUUUAGCUUGAAUACAUUAGCAUGGAAUAAUGAAAUAGGACGUUCGAACCUAUUUUGUUGGUUUCUAGGAUCAACGUAAUGAUUAAUAGGGAUAGUUGGGGGCAUUAGUAUUCAAUUGUCAGAUGUGAAAUUCUUGGAUUUAUUGAAGACUAACUACUGCGAAAGCAUUUGCCAAGGAUGUUUUCAUUAAUCAAGAACGAAAGUUAGGGGAUCGAAGACGAUCAGAUACCGUCGUAGUCUUAACCAUAAACUAUGCCGACUAGGGAUCGGAUGAUGUUAAUUUUUUAAUGACUCAUUCGGCGCCUUACG
rnacentral:misc_RNA from 1 species